rnacentral:rRNA from 1 species
GGAUUAGAUACCCUGGUAGUCCACGCCGUAAACGAUGCGGACUAGACUGAUGCGGCUCUGACGUCGUGUCGGUCGGAGAGAAAUUGUUAAGUCCGCCGCCUGGGGAGUACGGUCGCAAGGCUAAAACUCAAAGGAAUUGACGGGGGCUCACACAAGCGGUGGAGCAUGUUGCUUAAUUCGAAGCAACGCGAAGAACCUUACCUGGGCUUGACAUGCACGGAUUAGCCGUUGGAAACAUCGGUGACGCCCUUGGGUGGAACGUGCACAGGUGCUGCAUGGCUGUCGUCAGCUCGUGCCG